rnacentral:rRNA from 1 species
UACGAGUGGUGCAAGCGUUAUUCGGAAUCAUUGGGCGUAAAGGGCGCGUAGACGGCAUGCUAAGUCUGUUGUUAAAUUCCUCGGCUUAACCGAGGACUCGCAGCGGAAACUAUUGUGCUAGAGGGUGGAAGAGAGAAGUGGAAUUCUCGGAGUAGCGGUAAAAUGCGUAGAUCUCGAGAGGAACACCAAUGGCGAAGGCAGCUUCUUGGUCCAUUCCUGACGUUGAGGCGCGAAAGCGUAGGGAGCAAACAGG